CUGCUCCCACUGUCCGGUUCUGCGAGUGCCUGGUUUCGCAGGUGCCUGGUUCUACGCAUCCCUGGUACCGCCUUCUGCCUCUGUGCGCUUCCGCCCCGUUUUUUCUUCCUUCCGGUUUCUUCUCGCGUUAAGAGCCGCUUCCGGAGUCGCUGGGUCUCUGACCUUUACUGGGGUCAGUUCUCCGUGUUGAGGGGGGGAUCGGUGAGCCCGGGACUGUUGGGCAAGGGCCAAUGGGGGCGCCAUGUGCCCGGGAGUCUGUGCCCCGGCGGUCGGUGCCCGAUCGUGUGGAGGAGGUUACUGACUUCUUCAGAAUCACAGUUUGUUAGUGGCGAAGACUGGAAGUUGUGUCUCCCCACUCCAGAGAGACUGCCUGCUUUUCCACACGAGGAAAGGCAAAUUACUUUUAAAAAGAUCCUUUUGAGAAACGGCAACCAGGAUCAAGAAAUGAAAACUUUUAUAGGGCAGGAGCAUUCAGGAGCCACCAGGCAGGCCAGCUCUUUUAGGACCUCAUUCCUCCCGUAACUCAGCACAGCACCAGAGUUGUCUACACUUUUCCAAGACAGCAGAAAAUGAACAAAUCCCAGGUAAGUUCUUCAUUCCCCACAUUAUUUUGCAGUGGACCUGGUGAGAUUUGUGAGUCCUAUACUAAUGGGAAAUUAGCAAUAGAUAGAAAUCUACCUGUACAGAAAAUAGAGAGUAACAGAUCAAUAGCAAGGCUAAGGUGGCUUGUAGAUACAUACAGAUCAUUCUAUAUCUUAGAGCUUCUAAACUGACCUACAAAUAACAUCUCUGUUUCUGAAAACCAUGGAGAAAGGAAGACAGUCUUUUGGAUACAGAGUUUUUUCAAGACACAGACUUUUUGGAUGAUAUCAAAGAAGUUUUGGUCUUAACAUAGGUACACAUAGUGAAUAACCUUCCUGUGACAGCCCUGAAAUGAGUGCCUAAAACCAUUCCUCACUGAAAGUAAAAGGGUUCAAGAGCUAGUUCAAGUAGUUAAUUUAAUGAUGGUCUUGUUCGAUCCUUGUAUAAAACCUGAUAUGUUUAGGGGCGCCUAGGUGGCUCAGUAGGUUGAGCUUUUGAGUUUGGCUAGGUCAGGAUCUACACUCCGUGAGUUUGAGCCCCACGUCAGGCUCUGUGCUGACAGCUCAGAGCCUGGAGCCUGCUUCAGAUUCUGUGUCUCCCUCUCUCUCUCUCACCCUCCCCUGUUCAUACUCUGUCUCUCUCUGUCUC
rnacentral:lncRNA from 1 species